GAACUUGUCUGAUCUACCCUGAACAAGCCUGAUCCUGUCUGAUCUCGGAAGCUAAGCAGGGGCGGCCCUGGUUAGUACUUGGAUGGGAGACCUCCUAGGAAGACCAGGUGCUGUAGGCA
rnacentral:rRNA from 1 species